UACGUAGGGGGCUAGCGUUGUCCGGAAUCAUUGGGCGUAAAGCGCGUGUAGGCGGUCCGGUAAGUCCGCUGUGAAAGUCGGGGGCUCAACCGGGGAGAGUCGUCGUGGACUGCCGAGCUUGAGGGCGGCAGGGGUUGGUGGAAUUCCCGGUGUAGUGGUGAAAUGCGUAGAGAUCGGGAGGAACACCCGGUGGCGAAGGCG
rnacentral:rRNA from 1 species